AGCUCCUCACCGCCUGCACCACAUGUCUAUGAACCUCUUCGUAGACUUCCGUUACAGGAGGUGCUUCUGGUGCUGUUGGUAGAUAAAUGGUGUUUGUGCUAGUUCCUGUCAACUGUUUCCUCCGCUCAGGCACCAAACGUUGGUAGAACUAUCAAACUGUCAGCUCAUAUAAAUCAGAAAUAGUCUAGAGCCACAACACUGGCCUGCCAGCGACACAGUUCCUCUGCCAUGGUUAACAACAUCAUGUCAAAGCCUCUCGGGUUAGUUCUGAUCCUCACAGCUCACAUGGUGUUCAACGGGUUUUGCUCCCAUACAGUGCUGAGCCAAGAGAAGAUCACGGGGAGUCUCGGCGGUAAUAUCACCCUUGAAUUUUCAUUUAACUUCAGUGUAACAACAGGUUUUGGAAUUUAUAAAAAAAAAAACUCAACAGACGAAGGACAAAAGAUUGCUGGGUAUUUACGUGGCAAAAAAGAAGGCAAUCUUACAGUCUACCCUAAAAAUACGUCUGUCUGUUUUGAAAUAACAAAUCUCAGUCUAAGUCAUAAAGGAAUUUACUGGGCCAGUUUGUAUGUGGACGGCAUCACGGAAAAAAGUAGAAGGAUAGAGCUGGACGUCCGAGUGACGAACAGAAGCAUGGUAACUCCAAAACCAACUAACAUCACAUUGAUUGGAGACAGUGGAAGUGCCGGAAUGUCCUCCUCUCAAUUCCUCGCUGUCCUUUUGGUUUCAUCUGUUGUGCUGUUGGCUGCAGUUCUUCCCUUGUUGAGCUGGUGUAUCUUGAGACACA